rnacentral:rRNA from 1 species
AUUGAACGCUGGCGGCAUGCCUUACACAUGCAAGUCGAACGGCAGCGGACCUUCGGGUGCCGGCGAGUGGCGAACGGGUGAGUAAUGUAUCGGAACGUACCUUUCAGUGGGGGAUAACGUAGCGAAAGUUACGCUAAUACCGCAUAUUCUGUGAGCAGGAAAGCAGGGGAUCGCAAGACCUUGCGCUGAUUGAGCGGCCGAUAUCAGAUUAGCUAGUUGGUGAGGUAAGGGCUCACCCAGGCGACGAUCUGUAGCGGGUCUGAGAGGAUGAUCCGCCACACUGGAACUGAGACACGGUCCAGACUCCUACGGGAGGCAGCAGUGGGGAAUUUUGGACAAUGGGCGAAAGCCUGAUCCAGCCAUGCCGCGUGUGUGAAGAAGGUCUUCGGAUUGUAAAGCACUUUAAGUUGGGAGGAAGGGCUGUAGGCUAAUAUCCUGCAGUUUUGACGUUACCAACAGAAUAAGCACCGGCUAACUUCGUGCCAGCAGCCGCAGUAAGAC